GCAUAGCGGUAUCCUGAGUAACGCGGGACACGAGGAAUCCUGCGCGAAUCUGCCGGGACCAUCCGGUAAGGCUAAAUACUCCCGUGAGACCGAUAGCGAACGAGUACUGUGAAGGAAAGGUGAAAAGAACCCCGAGCAGGGGAGUGAAAUAGUUCCUGAAACCAUACGCCUACAAGCGGUCGGAGCAUCGUAAGAUGUGACGGCGUGCCUUUUGCAUAAUGAUCCUACGAGUUACCGUCACUGGCGAGGUUGAGUGUCAUGAGACACGUAGCCGCAGUGAAAGCGAGCCUGAAGAGGGCGCACAGUCAGUGGGGGUAGACGCGAAACCAAGUGAUCUACACUUGGCCAGGAUGAAGUCCCGGUAACACGGGAUGGAGGUCCGCACCAAUAAGCGUUGAAAAGCUUCUGGAUGAGCCGAGUGUAGGAGUGAAAGGCCAAUCAAACUUGGAGAUAGCUCGUACUCCCCGAAAGGCAUUUAGGUGCCGCGUCGGAUGGUCACCGUGAGAGGUAGAGCGACCGAUAGGACAAGAGGGCUUCACCGCCUAUCGAGUCCUGACGAACUCCGAAUGCUCACGGUCUGCAGUCCGGCAGUAAGGGGGCGGGUGCUAAGGUCCGUCCCCGAGAGGAGAAGAAUCCAGACCGCCGUCUAAGGUCCCGGAGUUCUGCCUGAGUUAGUCUAACGAAGUCUGGUCCCUAUGACAGCUAGGAUGUUGGCUUGGAAGCAGCCAUUCAUUCAAAGAGUGCGUAACAGCUCACUAGUCGAGGGUCCGGGCAUGGAUAAUAAUCGGGUAUAAGGCAGACACCGAAGGCGCGGGAUAGCAAUUAUAAAAGUAUCGGUAGGGGAGCAUACUCACAGCGUCGAAUGGUGUACGUAAGUUAUCCUGGAGCGGUGAGUAAAGCAAAUGUAGGAAUAAGUAACGAUAAGGAGGGUUAGAUUCCCUCCCGCUGUAAGACCAAGGUUUCCCGGGCAAUGCCAAUCAGCCCGGGGUCAGUCGGGUCCUAAGUCUAAGCCGAACGGCGAUGGCGAUGGCAGAGACGGUUAAUAUUCCGUCACUGCCGCAUGGGGCGA
rnacentral:rRNA from 1 species